rnacentral:rRNA from 1 species
CCUACGGGUGGCAGCAGUGAGGAAUAUUGGUCAAUGGUCGGGAGACUGAACCAGCCAAGCCGCGUGAGGGAUGAAGGUACAGAGUAUCGUAAACCUCUUUUGUCAGGGAACAAAGGCGUGGACGUGUCCCCGGAUGAGUGUACCUGAAGAAAAAGCAUCGGCUAACUCCGUGCCAGCAGCCGCGGUAAUACGGAGGAUGCGAGCGUUAUCCGGAUUUAUUGGGUUUAAAGGGGGCGCAGGGGGUCUGUUAAGUCAGCGGUAAAAGCUGGGGGCUCAACCCAGACCCGCCGUUGAAACUGGCAGUCUCGAGUUGGAGAGAGGUAGGCGGAAUGCGUGGUGUAGCGGUGAAAUGCAUAGAUAUCGCGCAGAACCCCGAUUGCGAAGGCAGCAUGCCGGCUCCACACUGACGCUGAGGCACGAAAGUGUGGGUAUCGAACAGGAUUAGAUACCCUUGUAGUC